UUUUCUGCUAUUGGGGAUGGAUCCCCAGCCAGUGUAAAUUGGCCCACAUUUAAGGCAAUAGAGUGAAGCUGAUUUAUACCAGCUGAGGCUGUGUCCCCGUGUCCCCAUUAUGAGCUCAAACUAUUCCAAAGUUGGUAAAGAAUGGGGAAAGGUUACGAAUCCAGGCAGUAUUUUUUUUC